UGGGGAAUUUUGGACAAUGGGGGAAACCCUGAUCCAGCCAUCCCGCGUGUGCGAUGAAGGCCUUCGGGUUGUAAAGCACUUUUGGCAGGAAAGAAACGUCAUGGGUUAAUACCCCGUGAAACUGACGGAACCUGCAGAAUAAGCACCGGCUAACUACGUGCCAGCAGCCGCGGUAAUACGUAGGGUGCAAGCGUUAAUCGGAAUUACUGGGCGUAAAGCGUGCGCAGGCGGUUCGGAAAGAAAGAUGUGAAAUCCCAGAGCUCAACUUUGGAACUGCAUUUUUAACUACCGGGCUAGAGUGUGUCAGAGGGAGGUGGAAUUCCGCGUGUAGCAGUGAAAUGCGUAGAUAUGCGGAGGAACACCGAUGGCGAAGGCAGCCUCCUGGGAUAACACUGACGCUCAUGCACGAAAGCGUGGGGAGCAAACAGG
rnacentral:rRNA from 1 species